GUGCUUGCACCAGAUGACGAGUGGCGCACGGGUGCGUAACGCGUGUGCAAUCUACCUUUUACUGAAGAAUAGCCCAGAGAAAUUUGGAAUAAUCCUUCAUAACAUCAUUUAUCAGCAUUGAUUUAUGAUUAAAGCUCCGGCGGUAAAAGAUGAGCAUGCGUCCUAUCAGUUUGUUGGUGAGGUAACGGCUCACCAAGACUACGAUAGGUAGGGGCCCUGAGAGGGGGAUCCCCCACACUGGUACUGAGACACGGACCAGACUCCUACGGGAGGCAGCAGUGAGGAAUAUUGGACAAUGGGGGCAACUCUGAUCCAGCCAUGCCGCGUGCAGGAUGACUGCCCUAUGGGUUGUAAACUGCUUUUAUAUAGGAAGAAACACUCCCACGUGUGGGGGCUUGACGGUACUAUAUGAAUAAGGAUCGGCUAACUCCGUGCCAGCAGCCGCGGUAAUACGGAGGAUCCAAGCGUUAUCCGGAAUCAUUGGGUUUAAAGGGUCCGCAGGCGGCCUGUUAAGUCAGAGGUGAAAGCCAACAGCUCAACUGUUGAACUGCCUUUGAUACUGAUAGGCUAGAGUUAUUGUGAAGUGGUUAGAAUGUGUGGUGUAGCGGUGAAAUGCUUAGAUAUCACACAGAAUACCCAUUGCGAAGGCAGAUCACUAACAAUAUACUGACGCUCAUGGACGAAAGCGUGGGGAGCGAACGGGAUUAGAUACCCCGGUAGUCCACGCCGUAAACGAUGGAUACUAACUGUUCGACCUUCGGGUUGAGUGGUCAAGCGAAAGUGAUAAGUAUCCCACCUGGGGAGUACGCUCGCAAGAGUGAAAC
rnacentral:rRNA from 1 species